GGGUCAGUAGGUUGGUCGUGCCACCGGUACGUACUGGUCUCACUGAUUCCUCCUUCCUGAAGAACCGUAAUGCCAUUAAUUUGGUGUUGCGGGGAAACAGGACUGUUACUUUGAAAGAAUUAGAGUGUUUAAAGCAAGCUAACGCCUGAAUACAUUAGCAUGGAAUAAUGAAAUAGGACGAUCGAUCCUAUUUUGUUGGUUUCUAGGAUUGACGUA
rnacentral:rRNA from 1 species